UUUAAAAGCACUUUGAAAAGAGAGUGAAAAGAACCUGAAACCGCUAGGGGGGAAGCGAAUUGCGUUGAUAUGUUGAGAAUGGUGUCGAUCAGUGGGUGAAACCACGUACUCCGCACUUUUUCUCAUCCGUCAUGGGUUUGCUCGUGGCAGAUAAUGUGCCGCGGUAGACUGAGGGGUCCCUUUUAUAGGUGACGAUGACGGCAUUUGUCGGCGCGAUUCGACCCGUCUUGAAACACGGACCAAGGAGUCUAGCGUAUCUGCGAGUCAAAGGGUGUUGAAACCUGAGGGCGCAGUGAAAGCGAAUUUUUAAAACAAAAUGGUGCAAUUUGAGGCGGCAUACGAUCGUUGAUUGUAAGUCCGACCUUGAGCAGAUAUGCUAGGACCCGAAAGAUGGUGAACUAUGCUUGAGUAGGGCGAAGCCAGAGGAAACUCUGGUGGAGGCUCGUAGCGGUGCUGACGUGCAAAUCGCUCGUCAAACUUGAGUAUAGGGGCGAAAGACUAAUCGAACCAUCUAGUAGCUGGUUUCCUCCGAAGUUUCUCUCAGGAUAGCAGGCCCAAAUUGAUGAUUGUUGUGUGU
rnacentral:rRNA from 1 species